AGCAGGGUAUUGAGAUAGAAGGGACUUCUAAGACUAAUAAUGGUCAUGGGGAUCCUUCUCAAAAAGUAGAAGAUUUAGCAAUACUACCAACAAAUUCCGAAAUACAAAUGAAACAAACCCUAGAGGCUGAGCACGUAUUUAUUCCAAACGAUCCAGAUUUAGCAAUACUGCCAACAAGUUCAGAAGAACAAUCACUUGGAGAAACUGAUACUAUAGUCAAACCUUCACAAGUACAUAAU